rnacentral:rRNA from 1 species
UUGACCUCAAAUCAGGUAGGACUACCCGCUGAACUUAAGCAUAUCAAUAAGCGGAGGAAAAGAAACUAACAAGGAUUCCCCUAGUAACUGCGAGUGAAGCGGGAAAAGCUCAAAUUUGAAAUCUGGUAGUCUUUGGCUGCCCGAGUUGUAAUCUAGAGAAGCAUUAUCUGCGCUGGACUGUGUAUAAGUGUCCUGGAAUAGACCAUCAUAGAGGGUGACAAUCCCGUCUUUGACACAGACUCCCAGUGCUUUGUGAUGUGCUCUCAAAGAGUCGAGUUGUUUGGGAAUGCAGCUCUAAAUGGGUGGUAAGUUCCAUCUAAAGCUAAAUAUUGGCGAGAGACCGAUAGCGAACAAGUACCGUGAGGGAAAGAUGAAAAGAACUUUGUAAAGAGAGUUAAACAGUACGUGAAAUUGCUGAAAGGGAAACGCUUGAAGUCAGUCGCGUUGGCUGGGGAUCAACCAUUGCUUUUGCUUGGCUUACUUCCCAGUUGACGGGUCAGCAUCAGUUUUGACCAGUGGAUAAAGGCUAGGGGAAUGUGGCACCUCCGGGUGUG